CGACACACUAUCGUUAACUGAAUACAUAGGUUAACGAGGCGAACCGGGGGAACUGAAACAUCUAAGUACCCCGAGGAAAAGAAAUCAACCGAGAUUCCCCCAGUAGCGGCGAGCGAACGGGGAGCAGCCCGGAGUCUGAAUCAGCUUGUGUGUUAGUGGAACGGUCUGGAAAGUCCGACGGUACAGGGUGAUAGUCCCGUACACGAAAAUGCACUUGCUGUGAACUCGAAGAGUAGGGCGGGACACGUGGUAUCCUGUCUGAAUAUGGGGGGACCAUCCUCCAAGGCUAAAUACUCCUGACUGACCGAUAGUGAACCAGUACCGUGAGGGAAAGGCGAAAAGAACCCCGGCGAGGGGAGUGAAAAAGAACCUGAAACCGUGUACGUACAAGCAGUGGGAGCCUCUUUAUGGGGUGACUGCGUACCUUUUGUAUAAUGGGUCAGCGACUUAUAUUCUGUAGCAAGGUUAACCGUAUAGGGGAGCCGAAGGGAAACCGAGUCUUAACUGGGCGUUAAGUUGCAGGGUAUAGACCCGAAACCCGGUGAUCUAGCCAUGGGCAGGUUGAAGGUUGGGUAACACUAACUGGAGGACCGAACCGACUAAUGUUGAAAAAUUAGCGGAUGACCUGUGGCUGGGGGUGAAAGGCCAAUCAAACCGGGAGAUAGCUGGUUCUCCCCGAAAGCUAUUUAGGUAGCGCCUCGUGAACUCAUCUUCGGGGGUAGAGCACUGUUUCGGCUAGGGGGCCAUCCCGGCUUACCAACCCGAUGCAAACUACGAAUACCGAAGAAUGUUAUCACGGGAGACACACGGCGGGUGCUAACGUCCGUCGUGAAGAGGGAAACAACCCAGACCGCCAGCUAAGGUCCCAAAGUCAUGGUUAAGUGGGAAACGAUGUGGGAAGGCACAGACAGCCAGGAUGUUGGCUUAGAAGCAGCCAUCAUUUAAAGAAAGCGUAAUAGCUCACUGGUCGAGUCGGCCUGCGCGGAAGAUGUAACGGGGCUAAACCAUGCACCGAAGCUGCGGCAGCGACACUAUGUGUUGUUGGGUAGGGGAGCGUUCUGUAAGCCGUUGAAGGUGUGCUGUGAGGCAUGCUGGAGGUAUCAGAAGUGCGAAUGCUGACAUAAGUAACGAUAAAGCGGGUGAAAAGCCCGCUCGCCGGAAGACCAAGGGUUCCUGUCCAACGUUAAUCGGGGCAGGGUGAGUCGACCCCUAAGGCGAGGCCGAAAGGCGUAGUCGAUGGGAAACAGGUUAAUAUUCCUGUACUUGGUGUUACUGCGAAGGGGGGACGGAGAAGGCUAUGUCAGCCGGGCGACGGUUGUCCCGGUUUAAGCAUGUAGGCGGAGGUUCCAGGUAAAUCCGGUACCUUAUUAACGCUGAGGUGUGAUGACGAGGCACUACGGUGCUGAAGUGAUAAAUGCCCUGCUUCCAGGAAAAGCCUCUAAGCAUCAGGUAACACGAAAUCGUACCCCAAACCGACACAGGUGGUCAGGUAGAGAAUACCAAGGCGCUUGAGAGAACUCGGGUGAAGGAACUAGGCAAAAUGGUGCCGUAACUUCGGGAGAAGGCACGCUGAUAUAGGUNNNNNNNNNNNNNNNNNNNNNNNNNNNNNNNNNNNNNNNNNNNNNNNNNNNNNNNNNNNNNNNNNNNNNNNNNNNNNNNNNNNNNNNNNNNNGGACGGAGCUGAAAUCAGUCGAAGAUACCAGCUGGCUGCAACUGUUUAUUAAAAACACAGCACUGUGCAAACACGAAAGUGGACGUAUACGGUGUGACGCCUGCCCGGUGCCGGAAGGUUAAUUGAUGGGGUUAGCGGCAACGCGAAGCUCUUGAUCGAAGCCCCGGUAAACGGCGGCCGUAACUAUAACGGUCCUAAGGUAGCGAAAUUCCUUGUCGGGUAAGUUCCGACCUGCACGAAUGGCGUAAUGAUGGCCAGGCUGUCUCCACCCGAGACUCAGUGAAAUUGAACUCGCUGUGAAGAUGCAGUGUACCCGCGGCAAGACGGAAAGACCCCGUGAACCUUUACUAUAGCUUGACACUGAACACUGGUCCUUGAUGUGUAGGAUAGGUGGGAGGCUUUGAAGCGUGGACGCCAGUCUGCGUGGAGCCAUCCUUGAAAUACCACCCUUUAAUGGCUGGUGUUCUAACGUAGACCCGUGAUCCGGGUUGCGGACAGUGUCUGGUGGGUAGUUUGACUGGGGCGGUCUCCUCCCAAAGAGUAACGGAGGAGCACGAAGGUUGGCUAAUCCUGGUCGGACAUCAGGAGGUUAGUGCAAUGGCAUAAGCCAGCUUGACUGCGAGCGUGACGGCGCGAGCAGGUGCGAAAGCAGGUCAUAGUGAUCCGGUGGUUCUGAAUGGAAGGGCCAUCGCUCAACGGAUAAAAGGUACUCCGGGGAUAACAGGCUGAUACCGCCCAAGAGUUCAUAUCGACGGCGGUGUUUGGCACCUCGAUGUCGGCUCAUCACAUCCUGGGGCUGAAGUAGGUCCCAAGGGUAUGGCUGUUCGCCAUUUAAAGUGGUACGCGAGCUGGGUUUAGAACGUCGUGAGACAGUUCGGUCCCUAUCUGCCGUGGGCGCUGGAGAAUUGAGGGGGGCUGCUCCUAGUACGAGAGGACCGGAGUGGACGCAUCACUGGUGUUCGGGUUGUCAUGCCAAUGGCACUGCCCGGUAGCUAAAUGCGGAAGAGAUAAGUGCUGAAAGCAUCUAAGCACGAAACUUGCCCCGAGAUGAGUUCUCCCUGAGACUUUAAGUCUCCUGAAGGAACGUUGAAGACGACGACGUUGAUAGGUCGGGUGUGUAAGCGCAGCGAUGCGUUGAGCUAACCGAUACUAAUGAACCGUGAGGCUUAACCUUACAACGCCGAAGGUGUUU
rnacentral:rRNA from 1 species